UACAGAGGUCUCAAGCGUUGUUCGGAUUCAUUGGGCGUAAAGGGUGCGUAGGCGGCGCGGUAAGUCGGGUGUGAAAUCUCGGAGCUUAACUCCGAAACUGCAUUCGAUACUGCCGUGCUUGAGGACUGGAGAGGAGACUGGAAUUUACGGUGUAGCGGUGAAAUGCGUAGAUAUCGUAAGGAAGACCAGUGGCGAAGGCGGGUCUCUGGACAGUUCCGUGA
rnacentral:rRNA from 1 species